AAAGGAGACAGUCCUGGACAGUUGGAUUGGGGAAACCUGCAGUAGUCCCUAGAACGCCAGGAUUUAUUAGUGGAAAACUCAGAGGACUGGAGCUAGAAGAGGCCUCUCUGGCUUUGGAGAAAAACCAAGGUUUCAGGUUCCACGGUUCAGCUCUCUUUCCUGGUUCUCCUGCACCUCUAAAUCGCCCAAACUGAGCCCGGGAGAUUUCGGAGGUCAAAUCUAUGACCUGCUUCGGCCUCCUAGGCCUGACCCCCCUUCCAACAGACGCUCCUUCAGGACAGCGUCACAGCCUCCAAGGAGACAGGGGCCUGCCUCUACCAUCUCUGCGUAAUGAAGAAAAUAGCUCCGGAUGAUGACAAAUUCUGGUGACUAAAAUAGGGUCCAACGCAUUUUGAGACCUCAAUCCUGUAAUGGAUGGGGAGAGUGCUGUGAGUCACUCCUCUCUCCUCUUUCCUACUGGUCAAGGUCACGAUGGCCUGAUUCCCUGCAGCUCCAAGUUGGGGAAACGUGGCAAGGAAUACCUUUGAUCAGGGAAUAUGAACCUAAGCCUCAGGCUCCACCAUCUGCCAGAGAAAUGGCUCGGGUGCCAGACCUCAAGGUCACACUGGAAAGCAAACCUUGAUAGCUCACCUAGGUCCAAGACCGACGGACUCCUUGACGUCCUGAGAAGGGGAGGGGUUCAGAGUGCUGGUAGGUGGGCUAGGAGGAAACUGGUUCUAGAAAGGCCUGACGUACGUCCCAACCCGGGGUGCGGGAGAAGCAGGUAGUCUGUAGGUGGCGCCCUGGGGCAGGCUUGGUUCUUUGCUGCCCUGAUGAUUUCAAAGGUAGCCUUCCUCAGGGAACACAGGCAGUGUAAAUUCGUCCCUGGGAAAAUAGAAAUUGCCCUUAUAACUGCAGUGGUUGAACAAGGCAGAAUAUUGUGCAAUGUUUCUGUCUUUAGUACACUGUCAGUAUCUUUCAGAGGCCCUAACACACACACAUACACCCAUUCUCCUUGACCACAAAUUUCAUCCCUGUCCACUGUUUCCAGGCUGCCAUUGUAAAGAAAAAAACACCUAGCAACGAAUAAACUAAACCACACCAAGGAGGAAAGGAUGCCAUCUUGGAAGAUGAAUAUGUUAAAACAGGAGAAUCUCUGGAGAAAGCAGUGUUUAAGGAAAGCAUAUGAUGGUUUGAAUUUCUGGUCAUGGGGAAAUGGGAGAGCAUCUCCCAGAAGCAUUCAAAACGCAUCACACACAUAACCUCCUACUCUGCUAGGAGGUUAGUAACUGAUUAGCAGGAAUUUACCAUGCCAAGAUCUUGGGAGAAUAAUUGAGAUAAUAACCGAUGCUUAUGAAAUGCAUGUUAACCCCCAGGUGUUGCCUUAAGCACUUGGUGAGCAUUAGCACUUUUAAUCAUAAUCUUCAUAAUACUCCUAUGAGAAAGCUAUUACUAACCUCCUUUUACAAAUAAGACUUGCACAAAAAUCAAAUAGCUAGGAAGUCAGAAUCGAUGCAAGCAGUUGGCAGCGUGGCUCAGUGGUAGAGGUGUUUAUACACAGGCCUAAGGGCCUGAAUUUAAUCCCUUGGGCCCACAAAGUAGCAGAAAAGUUAUUUCCCCUGAGAGUUGUGUACACACACACACCACACAUACAUCGUAUACCGCACACAAAUUUAAACAGUGCAAGCACCAGACACCUACAGCCCUGCAUCCCAGACUUGGAGAAGUCUUCCUUGUAGACCUUAAAGACCUUUGAUAUAAGCCAAAGACUUCUUCACAAUGCCUGGCCCACAGUCCCAGGGGAAAGGCUAAAUUAAGUUAUGUGGGUGCUUAAUAUUUAUAAUUAGCUCAUUAAAGUUUUAAAUAUGAAACCAUAUCUUCUUCAUCUAAGUUCAAAGUUAAAAUCAUAUUUUACCCAUAAAAUAAGAAGUUAUAAAAUAAAGGUAAACAUUCCUUAAUAUUUAGCCAAUUCAAGAGGAAUAGGCUGAAAUCCUCUAAUUUUCAGACCCAAGUUACAUCACCACAGGCUUGAUUUAAACAUUUUUCAAAUACUGACUUAUAUGAUCCACUUCAUAACUAUUAAUGUCAAGGCAUCCCUGUUUAACAGGCGAGGGAACCGAGACAAAAACUGUUGGAUCUUGCCUGGGACUGUGAUAUGGGUUUUAAAAGCUGGGACUUGCAUCUAGGCCAUUAGCAUCAAGCUUUGUAAAGAGCCAAUCAAUGAACACGUUUGGAUCUACACUGUCUGUCCCUGCUUCUCUGUCAUUUCACAAUAGGGCCAUAGAACAAGCAUGGCGGUAUUCCAGUCAAAGUUCUUGUGAGCAAUGAAGAUACUGCUUCAUUUAACUUCCACGAUAAACCAUUCUUAUAACUUUAUUUCAAUUGCUUUAAGGGGGGGGACCCCACAUGCCCAGCUUUUAGACUGUACGAAAACAGGGCACAGGCUCCGUCGUGCUUUGCUGGCCUCUGACCUAGAUAGCCCAGUUCCUGGAUCUUAUUUUUCACUGUGUAACCAGACUCAAGCUUGCUGCAAUUCCCAAGCCUCCACAUCCUGUAUGCUAGGAUCGUGGACAUGAGCUGCUGUGCCUGGCUUCAAUGGAGAGGGGCAUUAUGGUGGUUCUCAUGUAGCCCAGGCAGGCCUUGAAUUCCCGGUCCUAGUUCUCCCUUCUGAGUGCUGGUAUUACACACGUGUGACACCACACCCCUUGCUGAGAUGAGCUCUGUCCCUGCCGGGAUCCCUAGGCUGAUUUCCUGACCAAUAAUGAAAUCCACUUCUAGCUUAUAACUUAACCAAUUUUGUCAAUUCUGUGUUCUUUAAGUGCAAUUUACAUUUACACAAUUUCACUUGAACAAACAAAUUUCUUUGUACGUUUUCAAGUCCACAUUCUUUUCUCUUGGAGGGGGAUGCUUUAGUUUGUUCUUGUUCUUGUUCUUACUGUUGUUCUUGUUUUUAAGACCAGAAUCCAUCAAGACAUAGUAGUGCACAACUUUAAUCCCAGUACUUGGGAUGCAGAGGCAGGCAGAUCUCUGAGUC
rnacentral:lncRNA from 1 species